rnacentral:rRNA from 1 species
ACAAGCGAAUAAGGGCACAUGGUGGAUGCCUUGGCGAUUACAGGCGAUGAAGGACGUAGUAGCUUGCGAUAAGCUGCGGGGAGUGAGCAAACACACUUUGAUCCGCAGAUUUCCGAAUGGGGAAACCCGUUAUACUGAAGGUAUAACACCACUUACGUGGAGCAAACCCGGAGAACUGAAACAUCUAAGUACCCGGAGGAAAAGAAAACAAUACAGUGAUUUCCUAAGUAGUGGCGAGCGAAAGGGAAACAGCCCAAACCCCGGCGGUUACGGCCGACGGGGGGUUGUAGGACCGGUUUUUAAACAAUCAAACGAAGCAUAAGAGUUCUGGAAAGUGCUGCCAUAGAGGGUGAUAGUCCCGUUUGCGUAAAGUUGAUUGUUGUACCGGUAUCCUGAGUACUGCGAGGUCGGAGACGCCUUGUAGGAAUCUGCCAGCACCAUCUGGUAAGGCUAAAUACUCUCAAGAGACCGAUAGUGAACAAGUACUGUGAAGGAAAGGUGAAAAGAACCGCGAACAGCGGAGUGAAAUAGAACCUGAAACCAUGCGCUUACAAGCGGUCGGAGUCCUUCGGGAUGACGGCGUGCCUUUUGCAUAAUGAGCCUACGAGUUACUCUUCACUGGCAAGGUUAAUCCCGUUGACGGGAGGAGCCGAAGCGAAAGCGAGUCUGAAUAGGGCGCAUAGUCAGUGGAGGUAGACGCGAAACCUUGUGAUCUACCCUUGGCCAGGUUGAAGUCUCGGUAACACGAGAUGGAGGACCGAACUGGUAAACGUUGAAAAGUUUUCGGAUGAGCUGAGGGUAGGGGUGAAAGGCUAAUCAAACUGGGAAAUAGCUCGUACUCCCCGAAAUGUUUUUAGGAACAGCCUCGAGGUUAAGUAUUACAGAGGUAGAGCUACCGAUUGGACUAGGGGGCUUCACCGCCUACCAAAUCCUGACGAACUCCGAAUACUGUAAUAUAUACUCGGGAGUGAGCCCAUGGGUGCUAAGGUCCUUGGGCGAGAGGGAAAGAACCCAGACCAACAGCUAAGGUCCCCAAAUGUAUGUUAAGUUGAUCUAACGUGGUCCGAUUGCAUUGACAGCUAGGAUGUUUGCUUGGAAGCAGCAAUUCAUUUAAAGAGUGCGUAACAGCUCACUAGUCGAGCGAUUGGGCGUGGAUAAUACUCGGGCAUUAAACAUACUACCGAAGCUUUGGACAUAGUAAUAUGUGGUAGGGGAGCAUUCCAACGACACAGAAGGUAUAGCUUGAGCUGUGCUGGAGUUUUUGGAAAAGCAAAUGUAGGCAUAAGUAACGAUAAUGCAGGCGAGAAACCUGCACACCGAAAACCCAAGGUUUCCUGAUCAACGCUAAUCGGAUCAGGGUUAGUCGGGGCCUAACACGUAUCCGAACGGAGAAGUGGAUGGACAACAGGUUAAUAUUCCUGUACCAGCAUAAAAUGCGAUGUAGAGACGAAGUAGUGAAAGAUCUGCGCACUGACGGAUUAGUGCGUUAAAUGGUGUAGGUAUAGAUUUGGUAGGUAAAUCCGCCAGGUCUGCCGAACCUGACAGUACCGCGAGUCUUCGGACAAGUGGAUAAUGAUCCUAAACAGACUUCCAAGAAAAUCUGCUAAGCUUCAGUUUUGUGCUGCCCGUACCGUAAACCGACACAGGUGGGUGGGAAGAAUAUUCUAAGGUGCUCGAGUGAGUCACGGCUAAGGAACUAGGCAAAUUAACCCUGUAACUUCGGAAGAAAGGGUACCCGUCGCAAGGCGGGUCGCAGAGAAAUGGUCCAGGCAACUGUUUAUCAAAAACACAUGGCUAUGCGAAAUCGAAAGAUGAUGUAUAUGGCCUGACACCUGCCCGGUGCUGGAAGGUUAAGAGGAGAUGUCAGCUCACGCGAAGCAUUGAAUUGAAGCCCCAGUAAACGGCGGCCGUAACUAUAACGGUCCUAAGGUAGCGAAAUUCCUUGUCGGGUAAGUUCCGACCUGCACGAAUGGUGUAAUGAUCUGGGCACUGUCUCAGCCGUGAGCUCGGUGAAAUUGUAGUAUCGGUGAAGAUGCCGAUUACCCGCAACGGGACGGAAAGACCCCAUGCACCUUCACUAUAGCUUAACAUUGACUUUGGAUAAUUGAUGUGUAGGAUAGGUGGGAGACUUUGAAGUAUCGACGCCAGUCGGUAUGGAGUCAACCUUGAAAUACCACCCUUUAAUUAUUUGGAGUCUAACCCCGCAAAGCGGGGAACAGUGUUUGGUGGGUAGUUUGACUGGGGUGGUCGCCUCCAAAAAAGUAUCGGAGGCUUUCAAAGGUACCCUCAACACGCUUGGUAACCGUGUGUAGAGUGCAAUAGCAUAAGGGUGCUUGACUGUGAGACCGACAAGUCGAGCAGGUACGAAAGUAGGAUAUAGUGAUCCGGUGGUUCCGCAUGGAAGGGCCAUCGCUCAUAGGAUAAAAGGUACGCUGGGGAUAACAGGCUGAUCUCCCCCAAGAGCUCACAUCGACGGGGGGGUUUGGCACCUCGAUGUCGGCUCGUCACAUCCUGGGGCUGGAGAAGGUCCCAAGGGUUAGGCUGUUCGCCUAUUAAAGUGGCACGCGAGCUGGGUUCAGAACGUCGUGAGACAGUUCGGUCCCUAUCUGUUGUGGGCGUUAGAAAUUUGAGGGAACCUGACUCUAGUACGAGAGGACCGAGUUGGACGAACCUCUGGUGUAUCUGUUGUGGCGCCAGCUGCAGUGCAGAGUAGCUAAGUUCGGUUGAGAUAAGC